AUUAUUGAAGUAAGAGAUGGUGCUACAGUUGAUUCUCCCUUGCUAGCCACAUUUACAUCAGAUGGUGGACCAUAUUAUGUUACCUCAACAGGUGACUCUCUACAUGUUUUCUUUAAGACUGGUCAAAAUGUUAAUAAACAGCAUACUGGCUUCCAGUUUCAAUACAGACAAGGCUGUAAUUAUGAAUACAAUAGUAAUAGUGAAAUGCUCUCAUCACCGGGUUAUGGUAUUGUUAACUAUCCAAAUUAUCAAACAUGUACCUGGAUAAUCAGGCCUAAUCCUCCAAGAGAAGUAACUCUGAUGUUCGAUCCCCAGUUUAACUUAAAUGCAGAUGAUUUUCUUGAGGUAUAUAAUUCUAUAGAUGACAGUGGAACAGCUCUUCAUGGUAGUGGUUCAGGAUUCUCUGGCAGCACAGCACCUAGCCCUAUCUCUGUAAACAAUGGAUUGUUAUUCCUGCGAUUAAAAACCAAUUCCAUCAUUAAUCAAAAGGGAUUUAUGGCUAGAUUCUCUGUUGGUUGUCCUGCUAUCAUUUUUAAUUCUAAUUUCAUGCAAUCAUCAUCUGAUCAAUCAUUUGGUUCUGCAUUUGAUAUAUCAUGUAAACCUGGUUACCGUUUUGAUUCUCUAGAAUUAUAUAAUAGAACUACUGUUCAAAUAAAAUGUUUAUUUGGUGGACAGUGGAAUGUCCGUGCUAUACCAAGUUGUGUAGCUAAUUAUUGUGGUUUUCCACCAACUGUUAGUAGUGCCCGUAUUAUAUCAGGAAAUGGUGUAGGGUAUGGUAGUACUGUAGUUUAUUCAUGUAAUGAUGGUUAUAUACCAGACACCCAAAUAACAGCUACAUGUAAUAUAAACGGACAAUGGACAAACUUACCAACAUGCCAGGCCUCAACGUGUACAGCAUUACCUAGUGCUACUGAACCAGUAAUUAAACUAAAAACCGAGAAUGGAGAUGGUACAACAUUUGGUUCUAUAGUAACAUAUAGUUGUAAUAAUGGCUAUGAAUUACA